rnacentral:rRNA from 1 species
CCUACGGGGGGCAGCAGUGGGGAAUAUUGGACAGUGGGGGGAACCCUGAUCCAGCCAUGCCGCGCGUGUGAAGAAGGCCCUCGGGUUGUAAAGCACUUUCAGUGAGGAAGAACGCCUGGUGGUUAAUACCCAUCAGGAAAGACAUCACUCACAGAAGAAGCACCGGCUAACUCCGUGCCAGCAGCCGCGGUAAUACGGAGGGUGCGAGCGUUAAUCGGAAUUACUGGGCGUAAAGCGCGCGUAGGUGGCUUGAUAAGCCGGUUGUGAAAGCCCCGGGCUCAACCUGGGAACGGCAUCCGGAACUGUCAAGCUAGAGUGCAGGAGAGGAAGGUAGAAUUCCCGGUGUAGCGGUGAAAUGCGUAGAGAUCGGGAGGAAUACCAGUGGCGAAGGCGGCCUUCUGGACUGACACUGACACUGAGGUGCGAAAGCGUGGGUAGCAAACAGGAUUAGAUACCCCGGUAGUC